GGAUAUGGUAAAUAACCUUAUUAAGAAUGUGGUUUAGGAAUUCCCGUCGUGGCGCAGUGGUUAACGAAUCCGACUAGGAACUAUGAGGUUUCGGGUUCGGUCCCUGCCCUUGCUCGGUGGGUUAAGGAUCCGGUGUUGCCGUGAGCUGUGGUGUAGGUUGCAGACUCGGCUCGGACCCUGCGUUGCUGUGCCUCUGGCGUAGGCUGGGGACUACAGCUCCGAUUCGACCCCUAGCCUGGGAACCUCCAUAUGCUGCGGGAGCGGCCCGAAGAAAUAGCAAAAAGACAAAAAAAAAAUAAAAUAAAAGAAUGUGGUUUAAAGAUAAGAGUGUUUGGAGAAGUGGAAUGGAUAUGAUUGGAAGAACAGAAUUUAGAAAUAAUCAGUAUAUUUUUACAACCUCAAAUUCAGACAGAUCAACUGGCAAGGUAAGAAAAUACGGGAUUUUUAUAUUUUCAUAAAAAAAAUAGUCAAGUAAUAUCUUAGAGCCCAUAUACUAAUUGACAGCAAAAUAAUCAUGAAUACUAAGAGGAGCAAUUUGGAGAAAAUUUAUGGGUUUUGGAAGACAUGGAACCUUUCAAAGGAAGCAUUUGCUUCAGGCUGUGAUUUGCUAAUUAAUUUUCAGAAAUGCAACAAGAAACUAAACAGCCACCUAAGUCUCUUUCUACGUUUAUGAGAAAGAAGCUAGUAUGGAAACAAGAAGCUUAUAGAGGAGAAUUUUUUUCAAGAAAUCAAGUUCUAAAACUAUUUUUAGAGCGACUACCUGUGUAGUCCUACUUCUAGAUCACCUACUUUGGAGUCUCAGGAUUUGGGUUUUUACUGAUAUUAUCAAAUGUUUGCUUCCCUGCAGUAUUGGAAAGUAAAACGGAAUUGUUUUUACCAAAUUUUUUAAAAAAGCAAUGAUGAAAAUAUGGAUGAUGAUUUCCUUUUUGCAUUUUUCUGAUUUUUAAAAUUUCUAAAACAAUAUAAAUGUAAAAAUGAUCUAUGAAAUACAUCUGUGGUCUUUGCACAUCAUAUUGUAGGUAGCCAUAAUUUUUCAGGGUCUAUAAGAUUGAAUUAAGAUAGUGUAUUGUUUUUGAGUUUUGUGUUGAUAUUUUUGUUUUUACUUAUAACAGUGAUGCUGGAAGUAGCGGUGAACGUGAUAUUGCUGAAGGCUGUUUCCAGGCCCCCUAUGCCUUAAAAACCUCAAUUAAGUCCAAUUUCAUCAGAGAGUUCUUCUGCUCUAAGCAUACUCUUCACCUGGGAGCGAAAGGGACUUCAGAUCUGGAGCUCUUCUUUCUCCCCUUUGGCAUGCACACACGCUACUGUGUCAUCAUCCUCAGCAACAAAAAGGUGAGGACGGAAUUACGUGUGUGCUUUCAUCAAGGGCUGCCACUGUAAUGGAAUAACCAGUAUAGGUCAUUUGACAGCAGCUAAAGACUCUGGGAAUAUAGCUAACAAUUUCAGCCCUCUAGUUGAUAAACAAAGAGCUUAUCCUCAAGAAUAAGCAAAGAUUUAUACUACCUGUCUGCAAAUUUUAUAAUGGCUGGAUAAGGAAGUCCCAUGGGAGCAGAAUGGAGGCAUUCCUACCCUGCCAGUACCUUAUCUAUAUCGUCAUCUAUGGUCAUAUAACAAGUUACCAAAUACUGCUGCUCUUAAAACAAUAUGUAUUUAUCAUGUCACGUUUUCUAUGGAUCACAGGUCUAGGUGGGCCCUCUGGUUUAGGUCUAGCAAGUCUUCAAUUCACUGAUUGGCCAGUGCUGUGUUCUCCUCGGAGGUUAAGCUGAAGAAGUGGCUGCUUCUAAGCUUUCUCAAGUUGUUGGCGGAAUUAAUUUUCUAGCUCUGGGAUCCAUGCAUCUUACUUCUCUAAAGCCAGCGAAGGUGAAAAACAGAAGAGGAGGGAGGGGAGAGGAGGUGGGGGCAGAGAGAGAGAGACAGAGAGAGAGAGAAAGAAAGAAGAGAGGAUUUAGAGGAAAAGUUUUACGGUAUUCUUCUCUUUGAAAAAGACACUGCCAUGUCUUGACCUGAGGGAACUUAUGACCCAUGGGAGAUUGUCCCAAAUGUGUGUUAUGUAUCAAUUAUGCACUAUAUAGAAUGCAUAACAAUGAAAUAAUGGUGAUUGGGAGUUCUCAUCGUGGCUCAGCGGUAACGAACACAACUAGGAUCCAUGAGGAUGUGGGAUCGAUCUCUGGUCUCGGUCAGUGGGAUAAGGAUCUGGCAUUGCCGUGAGCUGUGGUGUAGGUUGCAGGCGUGACUCAGAUCUGGUGUUGCUGUGGCCGUGGUGUAGGCUGGCAGCUGCAGUUCCAAUUAGACCCCUAGCCUGGGAACCUCCACAUGCUGCAAGUGCGGUCCUAAAAAAAAAAAAAAAAAAAAAAGGAAUUGGAAAGAGGUAUUAUAUUGACUUAUCUGUAGGAUCCUUUACACAUGAAAAAUAGUAUAGCCUAUUAAAUAUGUAAGGAAUAGUUUUACACUAAGAAUUACCAUUUCAGGUGAAAAAUGCUACUUUAUCGUAAUAUCGAAACUUGUUUUUCAUUUCUCUUGAAAGAGUUUAGGUUUUAGCUGAAUUCCUCUAUAUGAAAAUUUGUAAAAAAAAAAAAA
rnacentral:lncRNA from 1 species